UACGUAGGGGGCAAGCGUUGUCCGGAUUUAUUGGGCGUAAAGAGCGUGUAGGCGGCCUGACAGGUCUGCUGUGAAAACUCGAGGCUCAACCUCGAGAUGUCGGCGGAAACCGUCUGGCUAGAGUCCGGAAGAGGAGAGUGGAAUUCCUGGUGUAGCGGUGAAAUGCGUAGAUAUCAAGAGGAACACCUGCGGCGAAGGCGGGUUGCUGGGCCGACACUGACGCUGAGGCGCGAAGCCAGGGAGCGAACGGG
rnacentral:rRNA from 1 species